GUGAGUAGUUCAGAGUUUGAUCCUGGCUCAGGAUGAACGCUAGCGGCAGGCUUAACACAUGCAAGUCGAGGGGCAGCGUGAUGAAGUAGCAAUACGGAUUUGAUGGCGACCGGCGCACGGGUGCGUAACGCGUGGGUAACCUGCCUCAUACAGGGGGAUAACAGUUAGAAAUGACUGCUAAUACCGCAUAAGCGCACAGUACCGCAUGGUACCGUGUGAAAAGCCGAGACGGUAUGAGAUGGACCCGCGUCUGAUUAGCUAGUUGGUGGGGUAACGGCCCACCAAGGCGACGAUCAGUAGCCGACCUGAGAGGGUGACCGGCCACAUUGGGACUGAGACACGGCCCAA
rnacentral:rRNA from 1 species